GGGGGUUGGGCGAUAUUACAUACAGUACCUCCGCAAACUCAUUAGUGUACACAAUAAUAUUCUGUACACGACAUACCAUUCUUACAGUCAGCGUACAGGACAGUGGAAAGCUGCUGGCAUUCCCAGCUGUGUUGAACUUAUCGUGGGUCAAUGAUUCAUCAUCAACGUCAUGUACUCCGUCUCUACCUGUACAGUGUAGGUAGGAAUGGCAUUUGGAGGGCAACUCACUUCCUUAUUCCCCAUUCAAAUAUCAACUUCAUUCUAGCAGAUGAAAUCCAAAGCCAAAGUCAGUGAGUAAGAAAGAAUGUUGUCUACUAUGUAUAUAGCACGCUUCCGAAGGAAGACUUGGGGAGUUUGACCCUCCAGGUCGAUGUGAAAGUAAACAGAUGCCCUUCUUAUAUUAUGCAACCCUCUGGUUUAACUACACAUUUUUAAACGGAAAGAAGAUAGUUGGGAAUACUGAGGGGAUGUAUUAGACUCUGCUGCCAUGAGUUAAACAAUCAAACUGACC
rnacentral:sRNA from 2 species